AUGGUGUCGAGGACAAGGUCACGUCGCUGUUCAGCCGGAGGGGCAGCGGGCUUGCCCGGGGACAGUCCAAGGAGAACCUUCGGGUCGAGGUGCGAGCCGCGGCCGGGGAAAGCUGACGUGGUCAGGAUCAGGUGGACUGCAGCUCUCAUCGGUAUCUUGAUGUGCAGAAAUUCCAGGAUUUUGGGACACCGAGUGCUCCCCCAAUUGCACGAGAUGGGGAGGUGGAUGGCAUUUUCGAUGCAAUUGGUGAGAGCAAUGACCACUUCUUAUUGCAAACAUUUUUUUUUGUAUUUCCGUUUGCUGGAAAAGAUAAUUAGACCAUUACUUGAUGUGCAAAUAGCUGACAUGAACAGAGGCUUUGAGAAGACAGAGAUCUCAUCAGUGGCGGAUAUACUGGCUCAAGAUGUUCAUGAGCUUCCUACGAGAUCAAAUGUUCAGGCGGAUGGUGUUCAGAUGCCGUACAUCGUGAACAAUUUAUUAGCUCAGAUACCCAGCUUCACAACUAAUAAGAAAGAUACGUGUUGUACCGCAAAGACCAAAGCUUCGCGCAACAUCAUCCUUUAG
rnacentral:rRNA from 1 species